rfam:Medicago truncatula strain A17 chromosome 6, whole genome shotgun sequence.
AAGUAGUCUGAUAUGCCCGUUUUGGAUUUACUCUAAUGUAUGUUUAACUAUUAUUUAAUUGCUUUUGGGUAACGGGGUGUUACAAUUGCU